rnacentral:rRNA from 1 species
UACGGAGGGUGCAAGCGUUAUCCGGAUUCACUGGGUUUAAAGGGUGCGUAGGUGGGUUGGUAAGUCCGUGGUGAAAUCUCCGAGCUUAACUCGGAAACUGCCGUGGAUACUAUCAAUCUUGAAUACUGUGGAGGUAAGCGGAAUAUGUCAUGUAGCGGUGAAAUGCUUAGAUAUGACAUAGAACACCAAUUGCGAAGGCAGCUCGUUACACGAAGAUUGACUCUGAGGCACGAAAGCGUGGGGAUCAAACAGG